AAGACUAUACUUCACAGGAUCAUUUCUGUAGUAAGUCUUCAUUACUUUCCGAUGAAAAUUGGAAUUUUUACACAACUAUGAUGAUGAGUUGAAUCGUCUUAUCUGGAGCGUGAGGUUUGAAUAGGAUUAAAUUUCUAUAAUUUAUAUUCUAUUUUUCGAUGAUCGCUUUUUAAAAACAGAUAAGACGAAUUCCGAGUAGU